UUUCCGUAGGUGAACCUGCGGAAGGAUCAUUAUCCAUCUCAACCAGAUGCGGUCGCGGCCCCCAGGAGCGUUAACUCCUGGGCGGUAGGGGUAACACCUGCACGCGCCGUGUUUCUGAAUCCUUUUUUUACGAGCACCUUUCGUUCUCCUUCGGUGGGGCAACCUGCCGCUGGAAUUACAAAACCUUUUUUGCAUCUAGCAUUACCUGUUCUGAUACAAACAAUCGUUACAACUUUCAACAAUGGAUCUCUUGGCUCUGGCAUCGAUGAAGAACGCAGC
rnacentral:misc_RNA from 1 species